GCCAGCGUGGCAUAGUGGUUUGUUUGAGUGUUGGACUAUGACUCUGGAGACCAGGGUUCGAUUCCCAACUCAGCCA